AGUGGAAAGCAAAUUUGGUGUCAUUAUCAAGAACAGCACUCGGCCAAAGUUUAAUGAUUAAUCAAUUAGUUGAUAUGGAAUGGAAGUUUGGAGUGACGGCAGCCAAUAGUGAAAUUAACAAAGUUGGUAACACAUUCCUUCAGUUGAAACUUGUUGUUAAUAAAGGAAAUAGGACAGAAAAUGUUUAUAUGGAAUUGACACUGCCACAAUUUUAUUCAUUUCUUCAUGAGAUGGAAAAAGCUAAAUCCAGUUUGGAGUAUUUUAGUCAAGGAUAGCCAUAAUGUCGAGACUUUAUAUUAUCCAAACUAUAAUCUUAACUUCUGUCAACAAGAUUUUCUUUAUCAAAUUAAAUAAUUAUCCUACCCUAUACAAGAUGCUCUAGUGGUGGAUAUCAUCAUGUAUUACCAAAAAGUUUAUGAAUACCCUUUUCCAGGGGAGUUUUCAAGAUUUGUUUUUUACCACCCCAUUUUAACGGUAGUGUUUUUGAUGUAUACAACAAAUGAUAUAAAGUCAAAGUGUUUGUAUGUAUUUAUUUUUUUGAAAUAUACACUGUACAAUUCAAAUUUUAUGCUUUUAGUAUAAACAAAAUGUACAAUAAAUACACAUGGAGUCUAUAUGUCUAUGUAAUUUCAGUAGAAAAUUUUUGUUGGCCCCUUCACAUGGUUCAAAGCUAUAUUACUGUGUGUAAAAUACUCUGGAUAAUAACCUUUUCAACUUCAAUGUGCUAAAAUACAAUAUGAAAUGAUUCAGUUGGGUUUAGUAAGUUUUAUACACUCACUGAAUAGAAUCAUUUUUGGAAGCUUGUUAAUUAAAUCAAAAAUAUUAAAUCAUCAGGUAUAUAAGGAAGAUGUACAUGUACAAUGUUUUAUCAUAUAUCAUACUUUAUACAGAAAUGAAAAUAUAGGUUACUGAUAAUAAAACUGACCAUUCCAGUAUCAACCUUGGGGGUUUUGAAAUGAAAACAGAAUAGAAGAAAAGAUAAAUUAAUAAAGUGCAAUUAAAUGGUUAUUUUAACCAUAUUUAUAUAUAAUUUAGUCUGUUUAAAUGGAAGCACUAUAAUAUUACAUCUUAAAUAUUAAUAAUUUCUAUAUAACACAUAUUUACAAGAUACAGUAAUGUGGAAAAGCCAUUGCACUAAAAACAAUGGUAUCUUUACAUCCCAGGUUUGUAUAUUGCAAUCUAGAUUUAUAAAAGUAUUCAAAUCUUUACUAUGCUAAAGCUGGUUGUAGGGCUAUAAAUUAGUGUACCGGUUAACGAUUUACUGAAUAAUGAAUAAUGUACCAAAAUGCUUUUGUACAUUACAAGUGUGUUUUUAUGGGAAAAAUAUGUUUUAUUUUAAUUAUUCCAUAUAUAACAUGUGCAAUUUCUGGUUUAUAUAUGCCAUUAUUGAAGAUGCACUUCUAAUGGA